rnacentral:rRNA from 1 species
GAUGAACGCUAGCUACAGGCUUAACACAUGCAAGUCGAGGGGCAGCAUGGUCUUAGCUUGCUAAGGCCGAUGGCGACCGGCGCACGGGUGAGUAACACGUAUCCAACCUGCCGUCUACUCUUGGACAGCCUUCUGAAAGGAAGAUUAAUACAAGAUGGCAUCAUGAGUCCGCAUGUUCACAUGAUUAAAGGUAUUCCGGUAGACGAUGGGGAUGCGUUCCAUUAGAUAGUAGGCGGGGUAACGGCCCACCUAGUCUUCGAUGGAUAGGGGUUCUGAGAGGAAGGUCCCCCACAGUGGAACUGAGACACGGGCCAAACUCAUACGGGAGGCAGCAGUGAGGGAGAUUGGUCAAUGGGCGCAGGCCUGAACCAGCCAAGUAGCGUGAAGGAUGACUGCCCUAUGGGUUGUAAACUUCUUGUAUAAAGGAAUAAAGUCGGGUAUGGAUACCCGUUUGCAUGUACUUUAUGAAGAAGGAUCGGCUAACUACGUG